rnacentral:rRNA from 1 species
GACGAACGCUGGCGGCGUGCCUAAUACAUGCAAGUAGAACGCUGAAGGAGGAGCUUGCUUCUCUGGAUGAGUUGCGAACGGGUGAGUAACGCGUAGGUAACCUGCCUGGUAGUGGGGGAUAACUAUUGGAAACGAUAGCUAAUACCGCAUAAGAGUAGACGUUGCAUGACAUUUGCUUAAAAGGUGCAAUUGCAUCACUACAAGAUGGACCUGCGUUGUAUUAGCUAGUUGGUGGGGUAACGGCUCACCAAGGCGACGCUACAUAGCCGACCUGAGAGGGUGGACGGCCACACUGGGACUUGGACACGGCCCAGACUCCUACGGGAGGCAGCAGUAGGGGAUCUUCGGCAAUGGACGGAAGUCUGACCGAACAACGCCGCGUGAGUGAAGAAGGUUUUCGGAUCGGAAAACUCUGUUGUAAGAGAAGAACAAGUGGGAGGGUGGAAAGUUCACACUGUGACGGUAUCUUACCAGAAAGGGACGGCUAACUACGUG